UGUCUGGGUAGUCUUCAAACGCCACACUAGCCAUGGAUGAUGUCUCCAAACGACGAUGAGUGUGGCCUUGUGAUGAACCUCAGCGCUGCAGAACGCUGUGCAUUCGUGAAGAACACACCAGACUGUAACAUGGAAGAUGGCUUCAUCAGCUACCUUUGUGUGGCCUUCUGUCUGCUUCCUCCCAACCUCACACCUCUCACCAUCACUCUCUGUAUUAUAUGGCUGCUCUUUUUGUUCGUCAUUCUUGGACUUGCAGCAUCUAAAUUUUUCUGUCCUAACCUGUCCUCACAACGUGGCUGGUGUGACAUUUUUGGCUCUUGGUAAUGGAGCUCCUGACAUCUUCAGUGCCAUUGCAGCUUUCUCCAACCCACACACUGCUGGGCUGGCUGUCGGAGCCUUAUUUGGAGCUGGUAUAUUUAUUACCACAGUAGUAGCAGGGAGCGUGGCGCUGGUCAAGCCUUUUGCUGCGUGACGUCAUCUUCUACAUGGUGGCAGUGUUUUGGACUUUCCUCAUGUUGUACAGUGGAACCACGACACUUAGCGAAACACUUGCUGUUUGCUCUUUUGGGCUUCGUGGCGAGUGCUGUGUUGAUCAGUGCAGCAGCGUCUGAGGUGGUCAGUCUUCUGCACAUGCUCGGUGUCGUGCUGAGUCUGUUGGCCUGGGGCAACAGCAUAGGAGGUGAUAUUGACGUGGAUUCUUGCAGGAGCUCUUGGUUUGUCUUUGGUCUUUUGGUUUCACUGUGCCGGUUCCACCAGGGUCGGACCUACGGGAUCUUCCUCCUCGUUGCACUCCUCACACAGUUUGGCAAGAUCCACAGUAUAUAGAUCUGACUCUGAUGCCAGUCUGAAAGCUGACUGCAGCUAUGACAGCACUUUGUGAGUCCAGAGGGAAAACACUGUGAAUUAACUAAUGUACUGUAAAUCAAAAUGCUCUUGUACAAAACUGGUUUUGGGGAAUUAAAUUAUUUUGGUUUGGUAUUUGUUUUUACA